UAAUGUAUGGGGAUCUGCCCGAUAGAGGGGGAUAACUACUGGAAACGGUGGCUAAUACCGCAUAAUGUCUACGGACCAAAGCAGGGGCUCUUCGGACCUUGCACUAUCGGAUGAACCCAUAUGGGAUUAGCUAGUAGGUGGGGUAAAGGCUCACGUAGGCGACGAUCUCUAGCUGGUCUGAGAGGAUGAUCAGCCACACUGGGACUGAGACACGGCCCAG
rnacentral:rRNA from 1 species